GAUGAACGCUAGUGGGAGGCCUAACACAUGCAAGCCGAGCGGUAUUUGUUCUUCGGAACAGAGAGAGCGGCGCACGGGUGCGGAACACGUGUGCAACCUGCCUUUAUCUGGGGGAUAGCCUUUCGAAAGGAAGAUUAAUACCCCAUAAUAUAUUGAGUGGCAUCACUUGAUAUUGAAAACUCCGGUGGAUAGAGGUGGGCACGCGCAAGAUUAGAUAGUUGGUGAGGUAACGGCUCACCAAGUCAAUGAUCUUUAGGGGGCCUGAGAGGGUGAUCCCCCACACUGGUACUGAGACACGGACCAGACUCCUACGGGAGGCAGCAGUGAGGAAUAUUGAACAAUGGGUUAGCGCCUGAUCCAGCCAUCCCGCGUGAAGGACGACGGCCCUAUGGGUUGUAAACUUCUUUUGUAUAGGGAUAAACCUACUCUCGUGAGAGUAGCUGAAGGUACUAUACGAAUAAGCACCGGCUAACUCCGUG
rnacentral:rRNA from 1 species